ACAGUGGAGGUUCAUUGGUAGAAUUCUCGCCUUCCAUGUGGGAGACCUGGGUUUGAUUCCCCGCCAACGCA
rnacentral:tRNA from 1 species